CCAGGGGCGGAGCCCGGGGGGCGGAGCCGGCGGCCCAGAGGUUCCGUUGCGGGGGCGCGGCCCAGGCCUGGGAGGCGCCGGCGGUUGGUGCGCGGCGGAGGGCGUGGCGCAAGGCGCAGCGGCUGGCGAGCGGCGGGAGGCGGGCCAUGGCCCUGCUGCUGUGGCUGAGCGUGACCGCGGCGCUGGCCCGCGGCUGCCUGCACUGCAACGGCAACUUCUCGGAGAAGUUCUCCUUCUACCGCCAUCACGUGGACCGCAAGUCCUGGUGGGUGGGCGACAUCACCGCGUCGGGCCUGCUGCUCACCGACUGGAGCCAGGACACCAUGAAGGAGCUCCACCUGGCCAUCCCCGCCGAGAUCACCCGGGAGAAGCUGGACCGAGUGGCAGGCGCCGUGUACUGGGAGAUGGAUCAGCUGUACCAGAGGAAGAUGUUUUUCCCGGGGUAUUUUCCCCACGAGUUGCGGGCCGUCUUCCGGAAGCAGGUGCAGCUCAUCCAGAAUGCCAUCAUAGAAAGCCGCAUCAACUGUGAGCGUCACUGCGGCAUCUUCCAGUACAAGACCAUCUCCUGCACCGACUGCACAGACUCGCACGUCGUCUGCUUUGGCUACAAUUGCAAGUCGUCUGCACAGUGGGAGACAGCUGUGCAGGGCCUCCUCCUUUACAUAAAUGAAUGGCACAAAGAGAACACCAGCAUGAGAACCACUCCAGCCUUCCUGGUGUCACCCAGAUUUGCAUGUCUGGAGCCCCCACACCUGGACAACCUGCCUCUGGAAAAUGCUUCCGAGUGCCUCACACAGCACUGAUGGCCGCCGGGCCUGCCCCACCGUGACGCAGGGCCGGGACUCCGCUGCGCGGUCCAGCCUGACCCUGUGGAGCAGGCCUGCUGCCGCCUCGGAUCCCCCCGCCCCACCAAACACCGGGGCCUGGGCUGGGCCGGGAGGAGGGAAAGGAGACUGCAGCUGGUGAAGAUGAGAGCCAGUGUCAUCAGGGUUCGUGUGUCGGACUGUCCCUCAGUCAGAGGCACACGGGAGCCAGUGUUCCUCUCAUGCGGCUCCUUCCUGCUGACGCUCCACAUGGAUUAUGGGGAGAUGGGCCCAGCACGGCCUGAUGCAGGGCCAAGUGCUGCCAGGAGCCCAACCGUGUGCCUGCAGUGCUGUCCCAAGGCUGGUGGUCCUUGGCUGCCCAGAUGACUUCCUCCCCACAGCUCCCUCUUGCCCUGUGUCCAAGCAGGGGCACAGGAUGGCUCCUGAGGGGAGACAGGACCCCCCAUUCUGCUGAGGUGUCACUGACUCAACACAGGCGCAGUUUCCAUGGGAGCACGUUUCUGUCAGGGACACACAUGGUGUAACCACCACAUCCCGUGGGGAGGCUCUGGAAGCCGCGCUGGGGUAGACUGGUGGUCACACAGGGCGCCUUGGACGAAUGCCACCCAGGGGGCGAGUUAGGAGAGGGGCUGGUUGGUAAAGAGGACCUGGUGUGGUGGGGGGCCGGCGUCCCUCCUCAUGCCGCCAAUCUCUGAUGCCUGGCCACUCGCCUUCCCAGCCUGCACAGGACUGGAAGCGGCUGUGACUCCACUGGGGUGGUGGGUCACAGUGCCAACGGGGUGGGGGAUGCCCGAGGCCUGUCCCCAUCAGGACUCCGGACUGGGCUUGGCUCCCUGGCCUCCUCCCACCUGGGCUUCCCAUCGGCUGACCUGGUCUGACCUGCCCACACCCCAUCAGUGAAGCCCUCGGAAACAUGACCUGAAGCACAAGCAGGACCUUCCUUCCGGCAGCUGCUCCUACCGCUCACCCUGCAUACCCCACUACCAGUGGGAAGAGGGGGGUGACCCCAUGGAGCUCCCCACUGUACCCCCUGACCCAGUGCCUUGGCAGUGUGUGGGGACCACAUCCCUCCCAAGGGGCAUGCAGGGGGAUGCCCC